UCGCCUGUUUUACAAAAACAUUGCCACUUGCAAAAAAAUAAGUGGUACUUCCUGCCCAAUGAAUUCUUUUUAAUGGCCGCGGUACCCUGACCGUGCAAAGGUAGCAUAAUCACUUGCCUAUUAAUUGUAGGCUAGAAUGAAUGGAUAAACGAAGUAAUAGCUGUCUCUGAUAGAACUAUAAAAACUAAUAUCUUAGUGAAGAAGCUAAGAUUUUAUUAUAGGACAAGAAGACCCUAUAGAGCUUUAUUUAAAAUACACAAUAAUAGCGUAUAAAAAUUUAGUUGGGGCGACUAAGGAAAAAUCAUCCUAGAAAAUAAAGAUUAACAAAUCAAACAAAAGAUCCUAAAACUAGAUCACAGAACCUAGCUACCUUAGGGAUAACAGGCUAAUUUUUCUAGAGAGUUCAAAUUGAUAGAAAAGAUUGGCACCUCGAUGUUGGCUUAGGGUAUCACGAAGAUGCAGCAGUCUUCAUGGUGGGUUUGUUCAACCCAUAAAAUCCUACGUGAUCUGAGUUCAGACCGGA
rnacentral:rRNA from 1 species